rnacentral:pre_miRNA from 1 species
UGUGGGAGACAGACAAAGACAGGGAACAGGCUGAGCAUGGAUGAAUCUACCAACAGGUUUCUGUUGUCGAUCCGCCCAUGCACUGCCUCUUCCCUGGCUCUGCCUCUUCCGUUUUC